rnacentral:rRNA from 1 species
UACGGAGGAUGCGAGCGUUAUCCGGAUUUAUUGGGUUUAAAGGGUGCGUAGGCGGGCUUUUAAGUCAGCGGUAAAAAUUCGGGGCUCAACCCCGUCCGGCCGUUGAAACUGGUGGCCUUGAGUGGGCGAGAAGAAGGCGGAAUGCGUGGUGUAGCGGUGAAAUGCAUAGAUAUCACGCAGAACCCCGAUUGCGAAGGCAGCCUUCCGGCGCCCUACUGACGCUGAGGCACGAAAGUGCGGGGAUCGAACAGG